rnacentral:misc_RNA from 1 species
AGUGAAAACAAACUUCGAGCAGCGUCGCUACUCCCUGCAGACGUUCGACCGUUUUGCAGACGACAAAACGACGCCGCCUGCAGUUUGUCGAGAGGCAGUUCCGGUACACAAGUUUAGCUUCCGGUUUUCGGUGUAAACAUGCCGGUUCGGCGCACGCCGCGAUGUUCAGACGUCUAUCGAGAAGUAGCCGCUUUUCCUGAUUUGACCUCUUGAAGAACAGCGGCAAGUCGCUCAAUUAAUCCCAUAGGUUACAGUCGUGGCGCAAACUACGAUGCUGAGGCUGUUGUGCCAAUUCACACACGUACGGAACAUCGCGAGGUUUGUCAGGCGGCACUCACAACUGGCAAAAAUCGGUGGGAAAACCGCCUUUUUGACAACGAUUGCCUGGAGCCUCCCGAUUAUAGCAAGAUGCGUGGAAGACGACAGCGAUGGCACGCUUACAACCAUUGACCCAGAAAUGCUGUCGCAUGAGUUCCUCAUCAAGCAAGCAAGCAUUGUUGCUGUUGAGGCAGCUAGCAGGGUACUCAUUCAGCUCACUGCAGCCAUCCUCGAUGCCCAUGAAGCAUACCGGAAAAGCCUGAACAAGCUGAGCAGCCUGUUGAAGCGGUUUGAGACAGAAGUGGGCCUCUGCUCGGGAGACGACUCCAUCUGGCUGGAGAUGAUCGCCAUCCGAGAGGAGACCAACAGGCUCAAGGCAGAUGUUCUAUCUCUCGAGUCGCGAAUGCAAAGCGUCACUGGCCUCAUGGAGGCCAUGGCACAGACAGCUUUUGCCAACGGUGCUGAAUACGCUGGCAUCUGCGCCAACGAACGUCUGCUCUCGUCUGAACGCCAGAUAAGGUCUGCCGCCCAGAAGACUGCAACCCUCGAAGAUGUCCUCAACAAGGCUCACAGAGACGCCGUCAUCUCUGGUGCUGACAAAGCGGACGCACCAGAGAAAAACGACCUAAAGAAAACGUAGCAGCGGUAGGCGUAGAUGAGAAAAAUACCUGCAAAGUACAUUUAAAAUGCACUGAAAUGAUGUUGCAAUCUAGGAUAAAGAAAUCAGCACAAUGAACCAUUCAUGUGAUGCCAUGACUUCACCUACAUCUUUAGGGGCAUACAAGGAUGCUGUACAGACAUCAGGAGCUUCGGGUUGAAAAAAAGAACAUGUACAUUUACGGUGAUCCAUGGCUCGACCAAAUAAAAUUAGUUUGUUGUGUUUCCAAAA